rnacentral:lncRNA from 1 species
UGCGUCAUCCGAAUGGAUGGUUAAAGCCAAUCCCAGAUGUUGUAAGCAAUUGUUCAGUUGAACUAAGGUGUUUGUGAAUGAAGCUGCUGUCUGGUUGAAUGGAGAUGUGGCUUGGAAUAUAUAGGUGUUCUUUGUGAUAAUUUUCUGCUUGUUUUUAAUAUGUCCUUUCCCUCUUGUUUCAGCUUUGCGUGUCUUUUGUAAAAAAUUCAUGUACUGUACAUAAGAAGUUUGUUACUUCUUGGUUUGCUUUCUCUCGUUUCUUAAAAUAUGGAGCUUCUUUUCCUUUAUUCAACAUUCUAC